UACGUAGGGUGCGAGCGUUGUCCGGAAUUAUUGGGCGUAAAGAGCUCGUAGGCGGUCUGUCGCGUCGAAUGUGAAAACCCGGGGCUCAACUCCGGGCUUGCAUUCGAUACGGGCAGGCUAGAGUGUGGUAGGGGAGAUCGGAAUUCCUGGUGUAGCGGUGAAAUGCGUAGAUAUCAGGAGGAAUACCUAUGGCGAAAGCAGGUAUCUGGGCCAUCACUGACGCUGAGCUGCGAAAGCUAGGGGAGCAAACAGG
rnacentral:rRNA from 1 species